rnacentral:lncRNA from 1 species
UUAAAAAGGAAAAAGGCAUCGUUAGGGGCUUGGCUAAAACAUUAUCAGAGUUUGCAACGGAAGGCGUAACUGAAAUAAUCAGUGUUUACAGCGGAAUGCAUAACUGAGAUACAUGUAUGAAGACAUGUAUCCUUUCUGAGCCUACUUUAAGUUCGACAAAAACUCCACUCAACAACAACACUUCAUCGCCCAUCACAGUUCAACCU